rnacentral:rRNA from 1 species
AUGAACGCUGGCGGCGUGCUUAACACAUGCAAGUCGAACGAUUAAAGCUCACUUCGGUGAGUGUAUAGAGUGGCGAACGGGUGAGUAACACGUGGGAAACCUGCCCCUUUCUUCGGGAUAACUUCGGGAAACCGUUGCUAAUACCGGAUACUCCGGGAUGGUUGCAUGGCCGACCCGGGAAAGCUUUAUGUGGAAAGGGAUGGUCCCGCGGCCCAUUAGCUUGUUGGUGGGGUAAUGGCCUACCAAGGCGAUGAUGGGUAGCCG